rnacentral:misc_RNA from 1 species
GAUGAAGAACGUAGCGAAAUGCGAUAAGUAAUGUGAAUUGCAGAAUUCAGUGAAUCAUCGAAUCUUUGAACGCACAUUGCGCCCGCCAGUAUUCUGGCGGGCAUGCCUGUUCGAGCGUCAUUUCAACCAUCAAGCCCCCGGCUUGUGUUGGGGACCUGCGGCUGCCGCAGGCCCUGAAAACCAGUGGCGGGCUCGCUAGUCACUCCGAGCGUAGUAAUACAUCUCGCUCAGGGCGUGCUGCGGGUUCCGGCCGUUAAAAAGCCUUAUUUACCCAAGGUUGACCUCGGAUCAGGUAGGAAGACCCGCUGAACUUAAGCAUAUCAAUAAGCGGAGG